AUUGAACGCUGGCGGCAUGCCUUACACAUGCAAGUCGAACGGUAACAGGUCUUCGGAUGCUGACGAGUGGCGAACGGGUGAGUAAUACAUCGGAACGUGCCUAGUAGUGGGGGAUAACUACUCGAAAGAGUGGCUAAUACCGCAUGAGAUCUACGGAUGAAAGCAGGGGAUCGCAAGACCUUGUGCUACUAGAGCGGCCGAUGGCAGAUUAGGUAGUUGGUGGGAUAAAAGCUUACCAAGCCGACGAUCGUUAGCUGGUCUGAGAGGACGAUCAGCCACACUGGGACUGAGACACGGCCCAGACUCCUACGGGAGGCAGCAGUGGGGAAUUUUGGACAAUGGGCGCAAGCCUGAUCCAGCAAUGCCGCGUGCAGGAUGAAGGCCUUCGGGUUGUAAACUGCUUUUGUACGGAACGAAAAGCCCUGGGUUAAUACCCUGGGGUCAUGACGGUACCGUAAGAAUAAGCACCGGCUAACUACGUGCCAGCAGCCGCAGUAAUAC
rnacentral:rRNA from 1 species